rnacentral:rRNA from 1 species
UUAAGCGACUAAGCGUACACGGUGGAUGCCCUGGCAGUCAGAGGCGAUGAAGGACGUGCUAAUCUGCGAAAAGCGUCGGUAAGGUGAUAUGAACCGUUAUAGCCGGCGAUGUCCGAAUGGGGAAACCCAGUGUGAUUCGUCACACUAUCGUUAACUGAAUACAUAGGUUAACGAGGCGAACCGGGGGAACUGAAACAUCUAAGUACCCCGAGGAAAAGAAAUCAACCGAGAUUCCCCCAGUAGCGGCGAGCGAACGGGGAGCAGCCCAGAGUCUGAAUCAGCUUGUGUGUUAGUGGAACGGUCUGGAAAGUCCGACGGUACAGGGUGAUAGUCCCGUACACCAAAAUGCACAGGCUGUGAACUCGAAGAGUAGGGCGGGACACGUGGUAUCCUGUCUGAAUAUGGGGGGACCAUCCUCCAAGGCUAAAUACUCCUGACUGACCGAUAGUGAACCAGUACCGUGAGGGAAAGGCGAAAAGAACCCCGGCGAGGGGAGUGAAAAAGAACCUGAAACCGUGUACGUACAAGCAGUGGGAGCACCUUUAUGGUGUGACUGCGUACCUUUUGUAUAAUGGGUCAGCGACUUAUAUUCUGUAGCAAGGUUAACCGUAUAGGGGAGCCGCAGGGAAACCGAGUCUUAACUGGGCGUUAAGUUGCAGGGUAUAGACCCGAAACCCGGUGAUCUAGCCAUGGGCAGGUUGAAGGUUGGGUAACACUAACUGGAGGACCGAACCGACUAAUGUUGAAAAAUUAGCGGAUGACUUGUGGCUGGGGGUGAAAGGCCAAUCAAACCGGGAGAUAGCUGGUUCUCCCCGAAAGCUAUUUAGGUAGCGCCUCGUGAAUUCAUCUUCGGGGGUAGAGCACUGUUUCGGCUAGGGGGUCAUCCCGACUUACCAACCCGAUGCAAACUACGAAUACCGAAGAAUGUUAUCACGGGAGACACACGGCGGGUGCUAACGUCCGUCGUGAAGAGGGAAACAACCCAGACCGCCAGCUAAGGUCCCAAAGUCAUGGUUAAGUGGGAAACGAUGUGGGAAGGCACAGACAGCCAGGAUGUUGGCUUAGAAGCAGCCAUCAUUUAAAGAAAGCGUAAUAGCUCACUGGUCGAGUCGGCCUGCGCGGAAGAUGUAACGGGGCUAAACCAUGCACCGAAGCUGCGGCAGCGACACUAUGUGUUGUUGGGUAGGGGAGCGUUCUGUAAGCCUGCGAAGGUGACCUGUGAGGGUUGCUGGAGGUAUCAGAAGUGCGAAUGCUGACAUAAGUAACGAUAAAGCGGGUGAAAAGCCCGCUCGCCGGAAGACCAAGGGUUCCUGUCCAACGUUAAUCGGGGCAGGGUGAGUCGACCCCUAAGGCGAGGCCGAAAGGCGUAGUCGAUGGGAAACAGGUUAAUAUUCCUGUACUUGGUGUUACUGCGAAGGGGGGACGGAGAAGGCUAUGUUAGCCGGGCGACGGUUGUCCCGGUUUAAGCAUGUAGGCUGGUUAUCCAGGCAAAUCCGGAUAAUCAAGGCUGAGGUGUGAUGACGAGGCACUACGGUGCUGAAGUAACAAAUGCCCUGCUUCCAGGAAAAGCCUCUAAGCAUCAGGUAACAUCAAAUCGUACCCCAAACCGACACAGGUGGUCAGGUAGAGAAUACCAAGGCGCUUGAGAGAACUCGGGUGAAGGAACUAGGCAAAAUGGUGCCGUAACUUCGGGAGAAGGCACGCUGGUGUGUAGGUGAAGUCCCUGCGGAUGGAGCUGAGACCAGUCGAAGAUACCAGCUGGCUGCAACUGUUUAUUAAAAACACAGCACUGUGCAAACACGAAAGUGGACGUAUACGGUGUGACGCCUGCCCGGUGCCGGAAGGUUAAUUGAUGGGGUUAUCCGUAAGGAGAAGCUCUUGAUCGAAGCCCCGGUAAACGGCGGCCGUAACUAUAACGGUCCUAAGGUAGCGAAAUUCCUUGUCGGGUAAGUUCCGACCUGCACGAAUGGCGUAAUGAUGGCCAGGCUGUCUCCACCCGAGACUCAGUGAAAUUGAACUCGCUGUGAAGAUGCAGUGUACCCGCGGCAAGACGGAAAGACCCCGUGAACCUUUACUAUAGCUUGACACUGAACAUUGAGCCUUGAUGUGUAGGAUAGGUGGGAGGCUUUGAAGCGUGGACGCCAGUCUGCGUGGAGCCAACCUUGAAAUACCACCCUUUAAUGUUUGAUGUUCUAACGUUGGCCCCUAAUCGGGGUUGCGGACAGUGUCUGGUGGGUAGUUUGACUGGGGCGGUCUCCUCCCAAAGCGUAACGGAGGAGCACGAAGGUUAGCUAAUCCUGGUCGGACAUCAGGAGGUUAGUGCAAUGGCAUAAGCUAGCUUGACUGCGAGCGUGACGGCGCGAGCAGGUGCGAAAGCAGGUCAUAGUGAUCCGGUGGUUCUGAAUGGAAGGGCCAUCGCUCAACGGAUAAAAGGUACUCCGGGGAUAACAGGCUGAUACCGCCCAAGAGUUCAUAUCGACGGCGGUGUUUGGCACCUCGAUGUCGGCUCAUCACAUCCUGGGGCUGAAGUAGGUCCCAAGGGUAUGGCUGUUCGCCAUUUAAAGUGGUACGCGAGCUGGGUUUAGAACGUCGUGAGACAGUUCGGUCCCUAUCUGCCGUGGGCGCUGGAGAAUUGAGGGGGGCUGCUCCUAGUACGAGAGGACCGGAGUGGACGCAUCACUGGUGUUCGGGUUGUCAUGCCAAUGGCACUGCCCGGUAGCUAAAUGCGGAAGAGAUAAGUGCUGAAAGCAUCUAAGCACGAAACUUGCCCCGAGAUGAGUUCUCCCUGAGACUUUAAGUCUCCUGAAGGAACGUUGAAGACGACGACGUUGAUAGGCCGGGUGUGUAAGCGCAGCGAUGCGUUGAGCUAACCGGUACUAAUGAACCGUGAGGCUUAACCUU